rnacentral:sRNA from 1 species
GCUGGACGCAGUGGUGUAUGCCUGUAAUCCCACUGACUUGGGAGGCUGAGGCAGGAGGAUUGCAAGUUCAUUAGCAAGGCCCUCAACAAAUUAGCAAGACCCUGUUUCAA